AAUGAACGUUGGCGGCAUGGAUUAGGCAUACAAGUCGCGCGAUAAGAUUCCUUCGGGAAUCCGAAAGCGGCGAAAGGGAGAGUAACGCGUAGAUGAUCUACCCCGAGGACUGGGAUAGCGGCGGGAAACUGCCGGUAAUACCAGAUGAUGUCUCCGGACCAAAGGUGUGAUUCCGCCUUGGGAUGAAUCUGCGUCCUAUUAGCUAGUUGGUGAGGUAACGGCUCACCAAGGCGAAGAUGGGUACCGGGUGUGAGAGCAUGACCCGGCUCACUGGGACUGAGACACUGCCCAGACACCUACGGGUGGCUGCAGUCGAGAAUCUUCGGCAAUGGGCGAAAGCCUGACCGAGCAAUGCCGCGUGCGGGAUGAAGGCCU
rnacentral:rRNA from 1 species